UUUUAUAUAUUUAUCAAUCAUAUUGUCCAAUUCAAUUAUUGCAAUAAUCAUAUACUUUUUUUUUUUUUUUCAAUUUGGGUUCUACAUUCAUAUACUAUUCAAUGAUACACUAAAGUAAGUGGAUCAAAGUCAGGAGAAAUAUAAAAUAUUAAAAAGAAAAAAAACAAAGGUUUAUUAGAAGUUGGCCAGCGAUGAUUCUUUGUGUUUGGUCCGUAUGAUCCCAACCUUCAAGUUUGGUG
rnacentral:lncRNA from 1 species